rnacentral:rRNA from 1 species
UACGAGGGGGGCAAGUGUUGUUCGGAAUCACUGGGCGUAAAGGGCGCGUAGGCGGCCUGAUAAGUAGGAGGUGAAAUCUUGCGGCUUAACCGCAAGGCUGCCUUCUAAACUGUCAGGCUAGAGCACAGUAGAGGCAGGUGGAAUUCCCGGUGUAGCGGUGGAAUGCGUAGAGAUCGGGAAGAACAUCAGUGGCGAAGGCGGCCUGCUGGGCUGUUGCUGACGCUGAGGCGCGACAGCGUGGGGAGCAAACAGG